GCGGGUAUGGUUUAGUGGUAGAACACGUGCUUGCCAAGCACGGGGCGGGGUUUCGAUUACCCCUACCCGCA
rnacentral:tRNA from 1 species